UACCGGGUCGUCUAGAGGCAGGACUCCUGGUUUUGGUCCAGGUAACGGAGGUUCGAAUCCUUCCCCGGUAACAA
rnacentral:tRNA from 1 species